rnacentral:rRNA from 1 species
UACGUAGGGUGCGAGCGUUGUCCGGAAUUAUUGGGCGUAAAGAGCUCGUAGGCGGUGUGUCGCGUCGGCCGUGAAAACCUGGGGGCUUAACUCUGGGCGUGCGGUCGAUACGGGCAUCACUGGAGUUCGGCAGGGGAGACUGGAAUUCCUGGUGUAGCGGUGAAAUGCGCAGAUAUCAGGAGGGAACACCGGUGGGCGAAGGCGGGGUCUCUGGGCCGAUACUGACGC